rnacentral:rRNA from 1 species
AUUGAACGCUGGCGGCAUGCCUUACACAUGCAAGUCGAACGGUAACGGGCCUUCGGGUGCCGACGAGUGGCGAACGGGUGAGUAAUAUAUCGGAACGUACCUUUCAGUGGGGGAUAACGUAGCGAAAGUUACGCUAAUACCGCAUAUUCUGUGAGCAGGAAAGCAGGGGACCUUCGGGCCUUGCGCUGAUUGAGCGGCCGAUAUCAGAUUAGCUAGUUGGUGAGGUAAAGGCUCACCAAGGCUACGAUCUGUAGCGGGUCUGAGAGGAUGAUCCGCCACACUGGAACUGAGACACGGUCCAGACUCCUACGGGAGGCAGCAGUGGGGAAUUUUGGACAAUGGGGGCAACCCUGAUCCAGCCAUGCCGCGAGAGUGAAGAAGGCCUUCGGGUUGUAAAGCUCUUUCGGCCGGGAAAAAAUCGCAUCAGCUAAUACCUGGUGUGGAUGAUGGUACCGGAAUAAGAAGCACCGGCUAACUACGUGCCAGCCGCCGCGGUAA